rnacentral:rRNA from 1 species
GGAUGUGAUCAUACCAGCACUAAAGCACCGGAUCCCAUCAGAACUUCUUGGGCGAGAGUAGUACUAGGAUGGGUGACCUUUUGGGAACUCCUCGUGUUGCAUUCC